UAUCAUAAUGUAUUGUAUAUAGGCUACAACAAUCCAAGACCAUUUACUUUAGGAAUAAUUUCAUUUUAUUUAUUUAUAAGCAUCUCCAAAAAAAGUAGGCCUACUCAAAAGUAGUUUUUUCUUCUUCUUAUAAUCUAAAAUCACUUGUGUUAUGCAGUCAUUGCGUCAUGCUAAGAUUGGCAUGCGUGUCUUCCCGCCUUCUUAUUUAAAAAAAACGGUUUGCCUCUCACCACUUAAACACGGGCACCUGCGUGUCAAUGGAUAAAACUCUAGGCCUAAUCUAUCAAGGUAAGAUUUAUAUUUCAUUUUAUAUUAGCUGAGUUACUGCUGCUUUUAUCUAACUGGACAUUUUUUUCAAAGCGACGCGGCUGGCGGACCGGCGGGGAGACUCAUCGUGAAGGUGAAAGUCCUAAGAGUAUGUUAAAUGGCGCGCUGGCAGACCGGCAGGGAGACUCAUGAAGACGAAAAGCCCUACAAAUACUUUAAAUAGCGGCGCUGGCAGAGCGGCCGGACCAUCGGGAGACAGGCGGCCAUAAAGAAGACCGUUUUAAACAUUUUGAGAUGGUAUGUGUCCUCUGAUUAUUGUUGUAUACUCUUACUAAUUAAGUACUUUAACUCUUCAAACUUUUAUUUUUUAUAUUUAAUACAUUUAUUUUCCACUGGCACAAUGUGUUGUUAACUGUGAUUUUACUUUUAGGCUAUACACU